AGUGAACGCUGGCGGUAGGCCUAACACAUGCAAGUCGAACGGCAGCACAGGAGAGCUUGCUCUCUGGGUGGCGAGUGGCGGACGGGUGAGGAAUACAUCGGAAUCUACUUUUUCGUGGGGGAUAACGUAGGGAAACUUACGCUAAUACCGCAUACGACCUACGGGUGAAAGCAGGGGAUCUUCGGACCUCGCGCGAUUGAAUGAGCCGAUGUCGGAUUAGCUAGUUGGCGGGGUAAAGGCCCACCAAGGCGACGAUCCGUAGCUGGUCUGAGAGGAUGAUCAGCCACACUGGAACUGAGACACGGUCCAGACUCCUACGGGAGGCAGCAGUGGGGAAUAUUGGACAAUGGGCGCAAGCCUGAUCCAGCCAUACCGCGUGGGUGAAGAAGGCCCUCGGGUUGUAAAGCCCUUUUGUUGGGAAAGAAAUCCAGCUGGUUAAUACCCGGUUGGGAUGACGGUACCCAAAGAAUAAGCACCGGCUAACUUCGUGCCAGCAGCCGCCGUAA
rnacentral:rRNA from 1 species